AGUCUAGCUGAAAUGUUCACCUUGUGUCCCGUUCGGACGUUGGUCCAGGGAGCCCGCUUGUGGUGCUCCUCUCACUUACGAAUAACAACGAACUCUCCGUUAGUCUUAGUUGUAUCAUGUUCUUUAGAAUGCGACAAAUAGUAAAGUCUGACUGAGUAGGACUAAAUCAGGCAAGGUUGAGGCUCGUAGCGGUACUAGCGUCAACUCGUUCGUCUUACCUAGGCACAGAGCCGAAGGGUAAAACGAACCUUCCAGCAACUGGUAUCCUUUGAAGGUUCUUUAAGCAUGGCUGGAGUUAAACUUACAUCAUGAGGUAGAACGAAUGAUUACAGACCUGCGAUAACGUAUCCCUCCGGCUAUUCUCAAAUUCGUGUGUAGAGCCGGUAGUUACUUCAAUGAAUUGAUGGCAACUAUCUGAACGUCUAACAGCCAAGUUUUGGAGUGCAGAACUGGCAGUGGGCGGUAAGGCCAGAGCUUGGUCAAGUUGCCAAUGUAGGAAAGCUGCCAGUACAUCUUCAUACGUCAGCAGUUAUCAGGGUGUUUGAAUCCGUUUAGAAGCCCGUAACAGCGUACCUGCUAAAUGAGCUAGCCCUGAAAAUGGAUGUCUGUGUAGCAGCACCCCAUAACCUGGCAUUAUCAUUGCAAGCUCGUCAAUAUUUUGCGGCAAGAAGAAGCAGGCAUGUUGAUUGUUGUUGAGUGGUGUUGCCGAGUGGUGUGGCCCUGUCCCAGGGCCCUGAU
rnacentral:ncRNA from 1 species